GCUCCGAAGUUCGUGGACUUCUCCGCACCUGAUCGUUGCCACACCGAACACAAUGAUCGUUAUUGGUUCUUCCUCCGUGUCGGAUGUGAUCAAAAGCAUGAAGAAGAAAUGGACUCUGACGCAAUUUAUAAUAAUUUUGUACUUAGGGUUAUGGCAGCUAGGAGUCCAAGUGUUGGGCUUCGAGAAGCUCUUUGCAAAAGAGACUCGAGGUAAAUUCAUGGAAAUCUUUUUCUGUUUUUCUUCAUUGAGACUUACGUUUUUGAUUUCUUCAUUGAUUUUUUUAUUGUGAUU